GUAAAUAGUUAAAAUUUUUAAUAGUAGCUAUUGCUGCAUUAUAGAAUUACAUGAUCUUUAUUUUCUUUUUUACACUUUAUUGCAGUCUCUAAGUUUUCUAUAGUAAAGGUCUUCAUCAUCUGGAGAGAAAUAUUUACAUUUUUUUUUAACUAUUGCAGAAGAAAGUGCUAUAGCAAUUUUAAAUCUUCAGGCUUUAUCACAGAAAGUUUCUGGACUGUUUUUUUCAGUGUCAUGCUUCAUACAAACGUGGUAUAGCAGAAGGAGUGCUGGAUAAGAAACCUCGGUCCCUAAGAAAUAUUACAAAUAAUCCCUCUACACACCUUUAAAUUGCACUUAUUUUCCAAUCUACUUUUUCGAGUCUUGACAAAUGCUGUGAAAGGACUUAUAUUUGCACGUAGUACCAAAAACCAGAAGCUAGUAUCGUUGACCACACUGGUCCACAGAACAUCAGUUCCUUUCCAUACUCUCAGUUGGGCCCUUUGAACAAUGAACUAUGAGCAUCACCAUGCUGCGUAUCAAACUGAGGGAUGGAAGGGCUCCUGAUAACAUAUCUCAGUUUAACAUUAAGAACAUAAACAAAGGUCUUUCUCUGAAUCAACAGAUGCCUUCAUCUAUGGUUAACAAGAAUACCACAAAAUACUAUUCUUUGCUAAAACAAAAAAAGGAAAUGCCAUUAAGUAUUCUGAAACACAAGGUGUCUAGCUUGUGCCCUGCCAUCUACUGGAAAUGUGAAAUGGGAGUUUUAAAGUACCUUUCUGUAUCUCAGCCAACAUAAAACAGUGAUGGAAAAAGCUACCACUUUAUAAAUAAAUUUCAGAUCUCCUACAAAUGGUACUGUCUUAAAAGCUGUCCAAAUAGAAGUAAAAGGUUCUCUAAGCAACGGUCAUCAAUCAUGUCUCUUCCUUAUUCAAAGAAUGGCUAGAGGGAAGCACAUAAAUUAUGCGCAAGUGCACAGUGUCCAGAUGGUGUAAAGCCACACACAGUCCACGAGCCAUCUCAGAAAGACCCCUUGUACAACCCAUCUCUUUCUGCACCCUGACUGCCUCUAAGCUCUGCCUACAUGGCCUCUUCUUCCCAGCUGCCACCACCUUCCCACAUCCUCAGGGUCCCUUUGCCUCAAGACUUCUUGCAGAGGAGCCAGCUUAUUUCAUUAUUUUAUCCUGUACUGAGUAUCCCUGCCUUGAAAAUAAACCAACCAACCUUCCUGACUAGUUUGGAGACUCAUCAGAAAUCACUACUAAUAAACAAGUGAUUACAGAUUCAAGAAAGCUAUCUGAUGAGAAAUUUAAAUCCUGGCUGAAAUGUAGGCAGCAUGAGGGAAACUUUGAUGUGAAACCGAUGGGUCUGGGCAGCUGUGAGGUCCUAAGAGCACCUCGGGGAGGUUCUGAUGUGCGUCCAGGGCUGGGCGCUGCUGUCCCAGACCCUCGGUCACCUGUCAUCCUUGCACUCGAGUGUCGUCAGGAGCCCACCACCUUCUGCAGAGAGGACCUCCAGGUUCCCCAUUCAUUCAGGUUCUAAGUCUCCCUUCUAGGAAAGAAGAGCGGGGGUGACUCUGCACCCUGAAGUGGUGCAGAGCGGGUGUGACUCUCCACUGAAGUGCCUCUGGAGUCCGGAAUGCGGCACGGCAAGGGUAAGCUUCAGUCACUUUAAAAGUCUACUUCUGUGAAUUCACAGCGUUCCCAGACUAUGAACAGAGAAGGCAAAGUAUGCGUAGGAGCUACUCUCAAAUUCUUAGGCAGAGGGUAGAUGAUAAUCAUGUGGUUUCGUAGAAAAUUCCUUGUGAAUAAUCUCCCAAAUAUGCAACACAAAUUAGAAUUAACGUCUUUGCUCACAGCUUGGGUCAAUUAAAAUCAAGGCAGUGGAUUUUGUUGUGACAAAGACCUGCAGAGACACUUUCUUACUGAAUAAUUUUCACAUUACUUUUUUCAAAUUCUUGGUAUAUCAUCUUAAAUUGAUUAACAGUAAACAAAAUACUUUGCAUGUAUCUUUUGAUUCUGGGGAAAGCUUUAUAUAUUUUAGGCUGGUCUUUUUCUCAAGAAAUGCCAUUUUCUGCAAACUAAAAGUAUUUCUCACAAAUUCAAAUAUUUGAACACUUUGGAUAAAGUAUGUACUGUGCACUGAUAUCUCAUUAACACUUUGCAGAGUAGGAUUUGGGAACAAAAGUGAUCAGCAGUGGCCUCUCUCCAAAAGGGUGCUGAAAUGCAAAGUUUCCAUAAAAUCUUAUUGAUAAUUAACUUCAAUUCCUCUCCAGCAUUUCAACCAUAACACACUGAAUCAUACCCAAAGUAUCUGCUUUAGGGUUUUAUUUCCAUGCAAAG
ensembl:lncRNA